rnacentral:lncRNA from 1 species
UUUUCUUCCACCUCCUCAUCUACUCAACAUGUAUCUUCAUUCUCAAGACGAUGAGGAUGAAGACCUUUAUGAUGCUCCACUCCCAGUUAAUAAAUAGUGAUGAAAUUGAGACCUCGCAGUUAAAUGUUUAAGUCAGGAUGAACUACUUUUCCAGGGAUGGUGAAGCCGGAGCUCUGGAUGGCACUCCUGGAUCUCCUAAAUCUUGAUUCCGUGCUCUUUUCUCCCCACUUGGCUCCACUGUU